GACGAACGCUGGCGGCGUGCUUAACACAUGCCAGUCGAACGGAAAGGCCCUGCUUUUGUGGGGUGCUCGAGUGGCGAACGGGUGAGUAACACGUGAGUAACCUGCCCUUGACUUUGGGAUAACUUCAGGAAACUGGGGCUAAUACCGGAUAGGAGCUCCUGCUGCAUGGUGGGGGUUGGAAAGUUUCGGCGGUUGGGGAUGGACUCGCGGCUUAUCAGCUUGUUGAUGGGGUAGUGGCUUACCAAGGCUUUGACGGGUAGCCGGCCUGAGAGGGUGACCGGCCACAUUGGGACUGAGAUACGGCCCAGACUCCUACGGGAGGCAGCAGUGGGGAAUAUUGCACAAUGGGCGGAAGCCUGAUGCAGCAACGCCGCGUGCGGGAUGACGGCCUUCGGGUUGUAAACCGCUUUCGCCUGUGACGAAGCGUGAGUGACGGUAAUGGGUAAAGAAGCACCGGCUAACUACGUG
rnacentral:rRNA from 1 species